rnacentral:rRNA from 1 species
UACAGAGGGUGCGAGCGUUGUCCGGAAUUACUGGGCGUAAAGGGCGCGUAGGCGGUUCUAUAAGUCAGGCGUGAAAUUCCUGGGCUUAACCUGGGGGCUGCGCUUGAGACUGUGGGACUUGAGGUCAGAAGAGGGUCGUGGAAUUCCCAGUGUAGAGGUGAAAUUCGUAGAUAUUGGGAAGAACACCGGUGGCGAAGGCGGCGACCUGGUCUGAUACUGACGCUGAGGCGCGGACAGCGUGGGGAGCAAACG